UCCUAUACUGCCAUUGACAUUGCUACCUUUAAAGUUUCAAUUGCAUUUUGGUAGCCAUUGUAAUGCACCUCAUACUGGUAUUGCAUACCAUUUGUUUAUUGGGCUAUCGAAUUGUUUGCCAAUCAAAUUCGCAGUACAUGACAUUGAGUGACAAAAACUUGGAUUUAAGCACCGCUGGACAUCAUCAAUGCAGAACAUUUGUGAAAUAAGUAAAAUUGACUGUGGUAAAAAAAUCCCAGAGCAUUCCAAAAUUUGACUUUGUGGAAACUAAUCAAGUGGCAAAUGGCAAAUUAUUCUAGCAAUUGUCAGUAUCAAAUAAACACAUGUGCGGAAUAAUAUUUUUGGUGAUAAUGAACAUAUUUUACAUGUACAGAUAUAAAAGGAAAAAAAUCUAUUAUUGGCAAUUUUAA